rnacentral:rRNA from 1 species
AUUGAACGCUGGCGGCAGGCCUAACACAUGCAAGUCGAGCGCGAAAAUUCCUUCGGGGGUGAGUAGAGCGGCGGACGGGUGAGUAACGCGUAGGAAUCUGCCCGGUAGUGGGGGACGAACAGUCGGAAACGACUGCUAAUACCGCAUACGCCCUAAGGGGGAAAGGCAGGGGAUCUUCGGACCUUGCGCUAUCGGAUGAGCCUGCGUCGGAUUAGCUUGUUGGUGGGGUAAUGGCCUACCAAGGCGACGAUCCGUAGCUGGUCUGAGAGGAUGAUCAGCCACACUGGGACUGAGACACGGCCCAGACUCCUACGGGAGGCAGCAGUGGGGAAUAUUGGACAAUGGGGGAAACCCUGAUCCAGCCAUGCCGCGUGUGUGAAGAAGGCCUUCGGUUGUAAGGUACACUUAAGUACGAGGAGGAAGGUUUUAGGUUUAAUUACUAC